AUGAUUGCAAAUGGGUUGCCUUCAGUGCUGGCUCAUUACUACGAGCAAGUGCACGUUGGUGGCUUCAUCCAAUACCCUUGUGAACCUGAGCCUCUUGCCGGCCUGGCCGGCAGAGAGGAUUUGUAUACCACGCUUGAAUGUAAUGAGAAAACUAUUGUUGUGCGCAAGCACUAUGUA
rnacentral:misc_RNA from 1 species